UUUAUUGAGGCUACAAGCCAAAAAUAAUAAUGUGGCUGGUUGGGGUCGAACCUUUAACCUCUUAUAGAGUAUACAGCCAUUUAACCAAUGGACUAAAGUUACUUUUGUGGAUUUUGUGGCCGAUAUUAUACUUAAUAAUAAUAAGGCUGGAAGCCCAUGCUUCAUUGGCCUAUGGCAAGGGCCGGCUCUGCUGGAGCUUUCAUAGUGAUAAUUGAGUUUUAACAAAUUUUGUGAAAUCUGAUUAGCCUGGUGAUGAGUUAUGCGAGUGGUGAUGAGUUCUGCUACAUAGAAGAGAAAGACGGAAUACUCUCGUCCUUAGCAAAACGUUCAAAGGAAGGUGGGUCGUGAGCAGAGUUUGUUGUCGUGAGCUUGAAGGCGGCAGUGACAAGGCGGAGCAGCGUCGAAGGCGGCGGCAGUAAAUCCUCUGAUCUGAGGACGAGGACUAUGUUUUUGUCCUUUCCCGAUCUGCAAAUAACAUAAGGAAGCUUGUGAAGGAUAGUUUAUGCUUGAACAUCAGCAACGAUGCCUGAGGAAAAGAUUGUGGAUACCAAGAAGAGCCACAACUCUUGAAGGGACCAAGCAACCAUUUUCUCAUUUUUCUCGAUAGUCAUGUUAGUUUAGUGUUUGGAUGAUCUUAUGCAAAACUUGUUCUUCUUAUUGCAAUAUAUAUUAUGAAGGUCAUGUUUAAAAAUUAUCAUUUAUAUUACUUUUAGAUUAAAUUUAAGA